rnacentral:misc_RNA from 1 species
AGAAGUAAAAGUCGUAACAAGGUUUCCGUAGGUGAACCUGCGGAAGGAUCAUUAUCGUAUAACCGAGGUGCGAGGGCUGUCGCUGACCCGAAAGGUCGUGCACGCCCGAGUGCCCUCACACACAUCCAUCUCACCCCUAUGUGCACCACCGCGUGGGUCCCCCUUUGGCUUGUUCGGAGGGGGGCUUACGUUUUCACACAAACUUUGUAUGCAGUGUAGAAUGUAUUUUUUGUUUUUGCGAUCACGCAAUCAAUACAACUUUCAACAACGGAUCUCUUGGCUCUC